GAUGAACGCUGGCGGCGUGCCUAAUACAUGCGAGUCGAGCGAACAGACGAGGAGCUUGCUCCUUUGACGUUAGCGGCGGACGGGUGAGUAACACGUGGAUAACCUACCUAUAAGACUGGGAUAACUUCGGGAAACCGGAGCUAAUACCGGAUAACAUGUUGAACCGCAUGGUUCAACAGUGAAAGACGGUCUUGCUGUCACUUAUAGAUGGAUCCGCGCCGCAUUAGCUAGUUGGUAAGGUAACGGCUUACCAAGGCAACGAUGCGUAGCCGACCUGAGAGGGUGAUCGGCCACACUGGAACUGAGACACGGUCCAGACUCCUACGGGAGGCAGCAGUAGGGAAUCUUCCGCAAUGGGCGAAAGCCUGACGGAGCAACGCCGCGUGAGUGAAGAAGGUCUUCGGAUCGUAAAACUCUGUUAUUAGGGAAGAACAAAUAUGUAAGUAACUAUGCACGUCUUGACGGUACCUAAUCAGAAAGCCACGGCUAACUACGUG
rnacentral:rRNA from 1 species